rnacentral:rRNA from 1 species
AAAUCCAAGAGUUGUAGGCUUUGCCUGCUAUCUCUUACCCAUGUCUUUUGAGUACCUUACGUUUCCUCGGUGGGUUCGCCCACCGAUUGGACAAAUUUAAACCCUUUGCAGUUGAAAUCAGCGUCUGAAAAAACUUAAUAGUUACAACUUUCAACAACGGAUCUCUUGGUUCUGGCAUCGAUGAAGAACGCAGCGAAAUGCGAUAAGUAGUGUGAAUUGCAGAAUUCAGUGAAUCAUCGAAUCUUUGAACGCACAUUGCGCCCCUUGGUAUUCCAUGGGGCAUGCCUGUUCGAGCGUCAUUUGUACCUUCAAGCUCUGCUUGGUGUUGGGUGUUUGUCUCCUGUAGACUCGCCUUAAAACAAUUGGCAGCCGGCGUAUUGAUUUCGGAGCGCAGUACAUCUCGCGCUUUGCACUCAUAACGACGACAUCCAAAAGUACAUUUUUACACUCUUGACCUCGGAUCAGGUAGGGAUACCCGCUGAACUUAAGCAUAUCAAUAAGCGGAGGAAGGA